rnacentral:misc_RNA from 1 species
GUCGAGAUUAAACAUAGCUUUACUUCUUGCUGUUUCCCUAAAAUUCAGAAAAGAGUUAUAUAAACAAAAUGGUAAUCAUCAACAGUUAGCAAUGAUAGUACAUAAAGUUCAGCCCCCACAGAACUACUGACUCAGAGCUAUUUUUGUUGCUCUGUUCUCUACAAGAACCAGAUUAGCACUUGAAUUUUAAAAAACAGAGACUAUCAAGUGGCUAGAACAUGAUCAAGGCAUUAGGUGUAAAUGUUAAGAUUGUUCUAGCAAAUUUUCUAAAUAUAAGUUCAAGAUGUAUCUUCCCGUGGACAAAACAUCAAGCCUCUUCUCACUGGAUUCAUACUUCCCCUUGCGGAGCUGGUACCGAUGAGUGACUGCUGCAAUGGUAUAUGCUUGCCCUUCAAUCGUCACACUCUCCCCACAUUGCAAGUUCUGCUACACAAGGAACAACAGGAGCAAAACAUGAGAAAAAUAAUAAUAGUAAUGAUGCAUUUUUUUUUUCCAAUUUAAACAUGUUGGGCCUACCUAGCCCUUUGAAUGAAUGAACAAAAUAACACAAACAAGAUGACAGUUGGAUCGUCCAAGGUUUUUGUUUGUGGCAAGCAUAGAAUACAAGAGAAGGGUCUGCAUUUCAUUCUGUAAUCCAAAAUCAUUGAAAACCAGCACCUAGAAUCAGCAAAGGACAAACCAAUAUAUAUUUAAUAAUUGCAGAACCCAUAUCUUCAAACUAUAAUAUGAUCUGCAAACAACAAUGUCUUCAAACGUUUCCCAACCCUAAUCUAUCAAGUUGUAAUGUCUUCAAUUACAGGAAUCUAUUUGGGAUGCCCCCAGCUGUGGAAUCCUGGACAGAAAGAACAUAUAUCCUAAUCUUUUUUUCCAACUAUUUUUCCUUUACCUUUUAAGUAGGUCUUAUAUUCUCAAACAGGUACUUAAAUAGUAUGUUGGAGUUGGAAUUUUUCUAUUUUUUGCAGCCUCCAACUUUCUUUUUACGGUUGCUUUCUUCACAGUUAGUGUCAUUCACACUUCAGUUUAAGUUCUCUCACUCUUGUUCUGUAAAAGGAAUGCCAUUACCUUAGCCUUCAAAGUGCAAUUAUGACUGCAGUACGAGGAACUUUCUUAGAGUAUAUCAAGAUCAGCAAUUUGUGCAGUGUACCUAUAGAAGUGGAAACAAGUGAGGCCCUAGGAUGAACACAAGUACCUCUCUCCAACAAUCGACUAUCUCCAACCAUUUCUCCUUGCCGGAAGCGCUCUCCAGCCUGCCUGUGCGUGAAAGACUUUGCCAAAAAGGUUAUGACAAUUGACACAUCUUGUCCAUAUUGUGGUUUAAUCAAAAAAUUAUAGCCAGUACUUUAGCCAAAAUAGUCUAAAGUCAUUCCCUUCUUUCCAAUUUCAUGAGUAGCAUGCCUCCUGGUACAUUUAGUUUGCUACUUUUGGAAGAUCUAAAUUACUGAGUGAAAAUGAUCAAUUUUGCAGACUGGGGAUUUUUCUUCUUUGGUGCAUUUGGAAAGCGAGAAAUGGCAUUGUCUUCAAAAAAAAAAAAAAACAUUGGCAUCCAACCCAAAUAAUAACUAAAGCUUGUUGAGACUCCAUGAUCAUCAAGAGGUUUGACUUUUGAGCUGUUCAAAUAGAUGCACAAACAUUAAGGGAGGUCUGAAUGUUACUUCAGAGCCUUGUUUUUUAUGAGUGAUAGUGGAAUCCAACAGCCAGUGCCAGGUUAUGGUUCAACCCAUCAAUAACAAUUUAGAUGACAAUGAAUUGCAAGCUUCCCUGUCUGAUAUUCGUGAAACUAAAUAGAAGGUUAGGGUUGAGAAAGUAUAUUUUGUGAAAAGUUGUAAUAAUGUAGCUCAGGUGUUGGAACAUUCUGGGAUUAUGGUGUUUAAUUGUUGCACUUGGAUUGAAACAGCCCCCACCCCCCUUUCACCACUGGCAUGAACUUACCUUGCAUGAUAUUUCUUCUCAGUAACUUACAUCUCUGUUUUUACGAAGCCAAAAAAAAAAAAAA